rnacentral:rRNA from 1 species
GAGUUUGAUUAUGGCUCAGGACGAACGCUGGCGGCGCGCUUAACACAUGCAAGUCGUGCGAUACCUCGAGCAAGUCUUACGACAAGCUCAAGGUGUAGCGGCGGACGGGUGAGUAACACGUGAGUAGCUGUCCUAAGGAGGGGGAUAACGCCUGGAAACGGGUGCUAAAACCCCAUAUGCCUCGCAAGAGGUGAAAGUGUAGCUUGCUACAGCCUUAGGGUGUGCUCGCGGCCUAUCAGCUAGUUGGUGAGGUAACGGCUCACCAAGGCUAAGACGGGUAGCCGGCCUGAGAGGGUGUACGGCCACACUGGAAUUGAGAUACGGUCCAGACUCCUACGGGAGGCAGCAGUGGGGAAUCUUGGGCAAUGGGCGAAAGCCUGACCCAGCGACGCCGCGUUGGGGAUGAAGCCCUUCGGGGUGUAAACCCAUGUUGUAGGGGACGAAGAAAGUGACGGUACCCUACGAGGAAGCCCCGGCUAACUACGUGCCAGCAGCCGCGGUAAGACGUAGGGGGCGAGCGUUGUCCGGAAUUACUGGGCGUAAAGGGCG